GAGAGAACCUUGGCGCGCGAUUUGAUGACGUUGUCAACAAUAACACCGCAUCACCGGUCACUGCUAGAAUAGAUACGAUUUUGUAAAAGUGACGUAACAGUUCCGUUUGUGCCAAUCGAUUUGCAUCAGAUCUCGCAUCAUGAAAAAACUUGCAUUGGGAACUAAAAUAUGUCCCCAUGAUGGAACCCACUUCCUGGUGGUCGGGAGGAAAACCUAUGCCUGCCAAUUGGCUAAUGUUUAUAAAGAUGCACAAUAAAGUGUCUGGACUGUGCCUACCUGGACUGUGGCUGAGGACCCUGGGCAUGCCUACCCAUAGCCCCUCCCCACACUCCCUAGCAUGUUUGUCUCAGAACAGGAGGCCGGGGAGAAAAGCACAAAACCAAGAGGCUGAGAACAAGGUGAAACAAGGUAAGGAUAAUAUAUAAAAAAUGAACUUCAGUGGGAGUUAACACACACACAUCUAAAUAUACAUAACACAUCCAAACAUACAAAACACCACUCUAAAUAUAGCAGAUAAAACACAUCUAGGACUACACACUAACCAAUCAAACAAGGGUUAGGGAUGUAUCAACCAUUAUCAUAAUACUUACACCUAUGCAAAAAUCUCCAUAAGUGCAUAAUUUGCUACU